GACGAACGCUGGCGGCGUGCUUAACACAUGCAAGUCGAACGAAAAGAGGGAAAGAGCUUGCUCUUUCCGGAAUUGAGUGGCAAACGGGUGAGUAACACGUAAACAACCUGCCUUCAGGAUGGGGACAACAGACGGAAACGACUGCUACUACCGAAUAAGUUCCAAGCGCCGCAUGGCCCAUGGAAGAAAAGGUGGCCUCUACCUGUAAGCUAUCGCCUGAAGAUGGGUUUGCGUCUGAUUAGCUGGCUGGGGGGGUAACGGCCCACCAAGGCGACGAUCAGUAGCCGGUCUGAGAGGAUGAACGGCCACACUGGAACUGAGACACGGGCCAGACUCCUACGGGAGGCAGCAGUGGGGAAUCUUCCGCAAUGGGCGAAAGGCUGACGGAGCAACGCCGGGGGAGUGAUGACGGCCUUCGGGUUGUAAAACUCUGGGAUCCGGGACGAAAAGGCAGAGUGCGAAGAACAAACUGCAUUGACGGUACCGGAAAAGCAGGCCACGGCUAACUACGUG
rnacentral:rRNA from 1 species